rnacentral:rRNA from 1 species
GACGAACGCUGGCGGCGUGCUUAACACAUGCAAGUCGAACGGAAAGGCCCUGCUUUUGUGGGGUGCUCGAGGGGCGAACGGGUGAGUAACACGUGAGUAACCUGCUCUUGACUUUGGGAUAACUUCAGGAAACGGGGGCUAAUACCGGAUAGGAGCUCCUGUUGCAUGGUGGGGGUGGGAAAGUUUCGGCGGUUGGGGAUGGACGCGCGGCUUAUCAGCUUGUUGGUGGGGUAGUGGCUUACCAAGGCUUUGACGGGUAGCCGGCCUGAGAGGGUGACCGGCCACAUUGGGACUGAGAUACGGCCCAGACUCCUACGGGAGGCAGCAGUGGGGAAUAUUGCACAAUGGGCGGAAGCCUGAUGAAGCAACGCCGCGUGCGGGAUGACGGCCUUCGGGUUGUAAACCGCUUUCGCCUGUGACGAAGCGUGAGUGACGGUAAUGGGUAAAGAAGCACCGGCUAACUACGUG